GCUGUGGCUUAGUUGUAGAGCACUUUCCUAGCAUGUGUGAGGCACUGGGUUCGAGUCUCAGCACUGCA
rnacentral:tRNA from 1 species